AAUGCUGAUAUCCACAGUAACAUAUUUUGUGUUCAAGUAGCCUAGCGUCCAGAGAAAAUUCAGAAUGCUGAAUAUCCACAAUAGCAAAGCUGCAAAGAAAUUCACAACCUACUCCACUCAAUUAAUGAAUAAAUGGUAGAGAUAAUUACAUGCUUUUUAGCGAAUGAAUCAAAGAAGAUACACACCUGAAAUUGGCUUUAAAGAAUGAUGUCUACCUACCUUUUCUAAUCCUACCUAAUUUACUCAGAAUACCAUGAAGAUUAUUAAUUAAUAAAUUAAUCCCAAUUUUGUUGAAAAGUAUUCUGAUUCAACAUUAAGAGACUUUUUAUUAAUGAGAUUUCGUUUAAUAUUUUUAAAAUCAUUUUCAAA
rnacentral:misc_RNA from 1 species